rnacentral:rRNA from 1 species
UAAUACGAGGGGGGCAAGCGUUGUCCGGAUUUAUUGGGCGUAAAGAGUUCGUAGGCGGAUUAAUAAGUCUAUAUUGAAAUACAAUGGCUUAACCAUUGAAAUGGUAUAGAUACUGUUAAUCUUGAGUUAUGUAGAGGUAAGUGGAAUUUCUGGUGUAGCGGUGAAAUGCGUAGAUAUCAGAAGGAACACCAAAGGCGAAGGCAACUUACUGGGCAUUAACUGACGCUGAGGAACGAAAGCGUGGGUAGCAAACAGGAUUAGAGACCCUGGUAGUCCACGCCGUAAACGAUGAGUACUUGGUGGUGGGGGAUUCGACCCUUUCACUGCUGGAGCUAACGCAUUAAGUACUCCGCCUGGGGAUUACGACCGCAAGGUUG